UGGGGAAUAUUGGACAAUGGGGGAAACCCUGAUCCAGCAAUGCCGCGUGAGUGAAGAAGGCCUUAGGGUUGUAAAGCUCUUUCGCCCGCGAAGAUAAUGACGGUAGCGGGAGAAGAAGCCCCGGCUAACUCCGUGCCAGCAGCCGCGGUAAUACGGAGGGGGCUAGCGUUGCUCGGAAUUACUGGGCGUAAAGCGUACGUAGGCGGAUGCGCAAGUUGGGGGUGAAAUCCCGGGGCUUAACCUCGGAAUUGCCCUCAAAACUGCACGUCUUGAGACCGAGAGAGGUAAGGGGAAUUCCUAGUGUAGAGGUGAAAUUCGUAGAUAUUAGGAAGAACACCAGUGGCGAAGGCGCCUUACUGGCUCGGUACUGACGCUGAGGUACGAAAGCGUGGGGAGCAAACA
rnacentral:rRNA from 1 species